rnacentral:rRNA from 1 species
AUACGGAGGGUGCAAGCGUUAAUCGGAAUUACUGGGCGUAAAGCGUACGUAGGCGGUUCGUUAAGUUAGAUGUGAAAGCCCCGGGCUUAACCUGGGAACUGCAUUUAAAACUGGCGAACUAGAGUUGAGUAGAGGGGAGUGGAAUUUCAGGUGUAGCGGUGAAAUGCGUAGAGAUCUGAAGGAACACCAGUGGCGAAGGCGGCUCCCUGGACUCAAACUGACGCUGAGGUACGAAAGCGUGGGUAGCAAACGGAAUUAGAAACCCCAGUAGUCC